GACGAACCGUGCGAACGUUAUUCGGAAUCACUGGGCUUAAAGGGCGCGUAGGCGGGUCAUCAAGUCCGGGGUGAAAUCCCACGGCCCAACCGUGGAAGUGCCUUGGAUACUGGAGACCUCGAGGGGGAUAGGGGCGUGCGGAACUCAGGGUGGAGCGGCGAAAUGCGUAGAUAUCCUGAGGAACACCGGUGGCGAAAGCGGCGCGCUGGAUCCCUUCUGACGCUGAGGCGCGAAAGCCAGGGGAGCAAACGGG
rnacentral:rRNA from 1 species